UUGACUGGUCAGGAACACCUGGUGUCCGUCCUGAAGGUUAUAAAUCAGCGUUCAGGAGGUGUGGCGGCAGGGGAAGAAGGCACACGGUUGAAACCAUGGCACCAAGAAGGAGAAGGAGAAGGAGAAGGAGAAGGAGAAGGAGAAGGAGAAGGAGAAGGAGAAGGAGAAGGAGAAGGAGAAGGAGAAGGAGAAGGAGAAGGAGAAGGAGAAGGAGAAGGAAUCAGACAGAAGGAAUCAGACAGAAGGAAUCAGACAGAAGGAAUCAGACAGAAGGAAUCAGACAGAAGGACACAGACAGAAGGACACGCAGAUGGUCAAAUUAGCAAGGAGAUACGCCAAAAGCAAGGGACGCUUUUUAUUCAACAGUUCGAGAAAGCACAAGAACGUAUAAACGAGAUGGAGGAAAAAUUGGAGCAGACUCUUGCAACAGUAGAUCGAGUUUUCAAAGUGGAAUUGAUGAAAAUGCCACCUGCGCUUCAAAAAACCGUGCGGAUGGCAAUUCGGGAGAUGAAGUCACCAUCGCCAUAAAGACCGAAUCACCCGAGAUUCACCAGCCUCUCACAAGGAAGGUCAGUAAAGGUAAUGGUUUAUUUCCUCCAUUAGUUAACUUAAAUGCGCGAACUUGCCAUUAACGAUACACUUCGUAUUUCUGUAGUCAAAAUAAGUGAAGGUGCAUCAGCUCAUAAAAGGAAGACUACAACAGAACCAUCAAAGGUAGCUAGCAAUUCAAUUUAAAGGGCUUUAAUAUCAUGGGAAACGUAUUGUAAUGAAAUAGCAGGGAGCAGGUCUCGAACCCUCGACCUUCUAGGACGAAGUCCAGCGCGCAAUCGACUGCCUCAGAAUAAACUGUUAAAUAAACAAGCAAAAAUGAACAGUAGCAUUACUCACAAUUUUCAAAUGAAUACAUUUCAAAUGUCAUAUGGCUAUGUACAGUGUUAUAACGAUGCAAUAGUCUACCACGGUGUACUAUCUGGUCAGGUUCAAAUAGCAUUCCAGUUUGCUCUUUUGUUUUGGUAGUCUUUCCAAUAUGUCAAGUAAUCUUUUUUUGGUUUUCUUAUGAUUUGGUUGGGUCUAAUCGUGUGGCUGUCCUGAGGCUCUUUGGGGUCUGUUUAUGACCAAAGCCCAUGGACCAGCUUGCUUAAGGGACUCUUUAGGUUAAUCUCGCUGUAGGUGAUGGCUGUAUGUAAGGUUUGUGAAUUGCUUAUUUUAAGGCAGUUAUAAAAUGUAAUGGGUAUUGGCCUAAUUCUGCUCUGCCUGCAUUUUUUUGUUGUACACAUGUUUUUGCAGAGUCUCAAAUUGGUGUUUGUCCUAUUUGUUGGUUGGUGAGUGGAUCCCAGACCUUACAACCAUAAAGGGCAAUAGGUUCUAUAACUGAUUCAAGUAUUUUUUUGUAAUUGGGAUGUUGACUUGUAUGUUCCUUUUGAUGGUAUAGAAGGCCCUUGCUUCCUUGUGUCAGAUCUUUCACAGCAUUGUGGAAGUUAGCUGUGGUGCUGAUGUUUAGGCUGAGGUAGGUAUAGUUUAGAUCCCACUUUAUUUGCAUGGCAUUAGGCCAAUGUGUGAUUGGGAACAGAGCAGGCAUUUCCCCUUAAAUAUAUACAAUUUAAUACAAUUACUUUCUUCUAAAGGUUUCCAAGAAAGCCAGAUCACUUGCCAAUGGCUCAAGCACUGGAAGCCUACGGUAUAUCUCCCUAUAUAUUAUCAGUCCUGGCGAGCAACCGGCUGGUUGCUAGUUUUGUUCCAGUCCACCACUUAUUAAACACCCUAUUGAACUAAUUCAGUAGCGUUAGCUGAAACGCCCUCUUCUGGUUGAUUCUGCUCAUUUGCUCUUGCAGGAGUGCCACAUCCACAAGUACAAAAAUAACCAAAACUCGCAUUGCCAAAAUCAGUGAUCAAUCUCCACUGACUGGGACGAAACACAGAUCUGUUUUGCGGUCAGCCAGUGAUGACCACCUGUAUUGCUCCCUGUCUGGAUUGUCUCCACAUGUAAUGAUCUCUACAUCCCAUGGAGAGACUUUGUGCCUCUCUGAUGAUACUGUUGAAGAUGUUGACAUCGGGUUACUGGAUGAUAUGGCUGUUCUCCAGAUGCAGAAGUUGAUGAAACUGAUGGACUAUCUUUUCAACAAAGUCAAAGUGACUCAGCCUAUGAAUUAGUCUGCAAUGAUACCAAGACGUCUAACAUUGAGCCACUAAUGCCACCUAUGCAUGUUUUACUUUCAAAUUAAAAUUUGAUUCAAUAAAUAGUUCUGUAUUUGUAUAUUUAUGUUCACUGGCUGGUGAGGAAUAUAUAGCCCCACGAAGUCGGUGGUUGUGAGCAUCCUAUUGAAUAUUUUUGUAUUGACAACUGUCAAACUGUUAAGCAAGUGUGCCCUGUUUAGCAAAAGUGUUAGUUGAUUGAUAAGUUUCUGACUGGCUUUAUUAAUGUCUACAGUAUUAUGCGGGGUUUCCCCUCAGGUUAUUGAUGUGUCAUUGCAACAUUAAAGGUCCUCAAUGACGUCA